rnacentral:tRNA from 1 species
GUUAGAGUGGCAGAGCUCGGUACUGCAAAAGAUCUAAGCUCUUUUCACAGGGGUUCAAGUCCCCUCCCUAACU